GACGAACGCUGGCGGCGUGCUUAACACAUGCAAGUCGAACGGCAAGGCCCUGCUUUCGUGCGGUGCUCGAUUGGCGACCGGGUGAGUAACACGUGAGUAACCUGCCCUUGCCUUUUGGAUAACUUCAGGCAACUGGGGCUAAUACCGGAUAGGAGCUCCUGCUGCAUGGUGGGGGUUGGAAAGUUUCGGCGGUUUGGGAUGGACUCGCGGCUUACCAGCUUGUUGGUGGGGUGGUGGCUUACCAAGGGUUUGGCGGGUGGUCGGCCUGAGAGGGUGACCGGCCACAGUGCGACUGAGCUACGGCCCAGACUCCUACGGGAGACAGCUGUGGGGAAUAUUGCACAAUGGGGGGAAGCCUGAUGCAGCAACGCCGCGUGCGGGAUGACGGCCUUCGGGUUGUAAACCGCUUUCGCCUGUGACGAAGCGUGAGUGACGGUAAUGUGUAAAGAAGCACCGGCUAACUCCGUG
rnacentral:rRNA from 1 species